CCCGCUGAACUUAAGCAUAUCAAUAAGCGGAGGAAAAGAAACCAACAGGGAUUGCCUCAGUAACGGCGAGUGAAGCGGCAACAGCUCAAAUUUGAAAUCUGGCCCUUGGGUCCGAGUUGUAAUUUGUAGAGGAUGCUUCUGGCGCGGUGCCUUCCGAGUUCCCUGGAACGGGACGCCAUAGAGGGUGAGAGCCCCGUCUGGUUGGAUGCCUAGCCUUUGUGAAGCUCCUUCGACGAGUCGAGUAGUUUGGGAAUGCUGCUCUAAAUGGGAGGUAUAUGUCUUCUAAAGCUAAAUAUUGGCCAGAGACCGAUAGCGCACAAGUAGAGUGAUCGAAAGAUGAAAAGCACUUUGAAAAGAGAGUGAAACAGUACGUGAAAUUGUUGAAAGGGAAACGCUUGAAGUCAGUCGCGUCUUCUGGAACUCAGCCGUGCUUCUGCUAGGCGCAUUUUCCAGUUUGACGGGUCAGCAUCGGUUUCGGUGGGCAGACAAAGGCGCAGGGAAGGUGGCCGCUCCGGUGGUGUUAUAGCCCUGCGUUGUAUGUGCCCGCUGGGACCGAGGAAUCCGGCUCGCGCCUGGGAUGCUGGCGUAAUGGCUCUAAGCGACCCGUCUUGAAACACGG
rnacentral:rRNA from 1 species